UUUCAGAGAUGUUCUGCUUUCGUAAACCCACUUCCUCUCAUCCUCUUUGUAUCUGCACACUUCAACAACAUCUCCUCGUUCACACAGUGCUGAAUGUGUGUCAGACACUUAUUUAAUCAAAUGGGGAAAAAUACUGGCAUGUUGGUUUUCACAGUAGGAUAUUGCAUCUGGGUUGCUGCAUCGUCAUGUUUCUCCCAGCUUAUGGAGAGGUUUCUUCGGGACGGGGACGAUGGUGGAUCACUUGAAGCCGGAUGGGACGAUACAGAGCGUCAGGGAGAGGUUGAAGAUGUCGGUGCAUACCGGGGCUAGCUGGUCUGCGCAGGCUUUGAGGACUCUACCGCAGAUGCUGUCUGGUCCCGCUGCCUUCCUGAGGUUUCUUCGGGACGGGGACAAUGGUGGCUCCCUUGAAGCCGGAUGGGAUGAUACCGAGUGUCAGGGAGAGGUUGAAGAUUUCGGUGAAUACCGGGGCUAGCUGGUCUGCGCAGGCUUUGAGGACUCUGCUGCAGAUGCCGUCUGUUCCCGCGGCCUUCCGGGUAUUCACUCUUUUGAACACUUUCCACACGUCACUCUCCGUGAUGGAGGGCAUU